GGCAGUGUGGCCGAGCGGUCUAAGGCGCUGGUUUUAGGCACCAGUCCGAAAGGGCGUGGGUU
rnacentral:tRNA from 1 species